rnacentral:miRNA from 1 species
GGCCCUCGGGCCUGGGGUUGGGGGAGCCCUGGGGGCCACCCUCGUCCUGUCUCACUCAUCGCUCCUCCCCUGCCUGGCCCAG